rnacentral:rRNA from 1 species
UACAGAGGGUGCAAGCGUUAAUCGGAGUUACUGGGCGUAAAGGGCGCGUAGGCGGUUAUUUAAGUUUGAUGUGAAAUCCCUGGGCUUAACCUAGGAACUGCAUUGAAUACUGGAUAACUGGAGUACUGUAGAGGGUAGUGGAAUUUCCGGUGUAGCGGUGAAAUGCGUAGAGAUCGGAAGGAACACCAGUGGCGAAGGCGGCUACCUGGACAGAUACUGACGCUGAGGCGCGAGAGCGUGGGGAGCAAACAGG